ACACCUCAACUCUCAUGGCCUUGCCGUGAUGAGCUUGGACUCUGGGGGUCUUGCCGGCCUGUGGUCGGCUCCUCUCAAAUUGAUCAGCUUGCCAGCGUCUGGUGGCAUCGCAGGUGUGAUAACUAUCUACGCUUGUGGUUUUCCACCAGGUAACCUUCAGCGAUGGAGGUUCGCUGGAGCUCACAAAUGUCUCUCUUCGGUGAGGACAGCUUCUGAAC
rnacentral:misc_RNA from 1 species